rnacentral:rRNA from 1 species
UAUUUUCCUUUUUUUCCCUCCGCCGCGGUAAUACGUAGGGGGCAAGCGUUAUCCGGAAUUACUGGGUGUAAAGGGUGCGUAGGUGGUAUGGCAAGUCAGAAGUGAAAACCCAGGGCUUAACUCUGGGACUGCUUUUGAAACUGUCAGACUGGAGUGCAGGAGAGGUAAGCGGAAUUCCUAGUGUAGCGGUGAAAUGCGUAGAUAUUAGGAGGAACAUCAGUGGCGAAGGCGGCUUACUGGACUGAAACUGACACUGAGGCACGAAAGCGUGGGGAGCAAACAGG